rnacentral:rRNA from 1 species
CAAUGGGGGCAACCCUGACCGAGCAACGCCGCGUGAGUGAAGAAGGUUUUCGGAUCGUAAAGCUCUGUUGUAAGUCAAGAACGAGUGUGAGAGUGGAAAGUUCACACUGUGACGGUAGCUUACCAGAAAGGGACGGCUAACUACGUGCCAGCAGCCGCGGUAAUACGUAGGUCCCGAGCGUUGUCCGGAUUUAUUGGGCGUAAAGCGAGCGCAGGCGGUUUGAUAAGUCUGAAGUUAAAGGCUGUGGCUCAACCAUAGUUCGCUUUGGAAACUGUCAAACUUGAGUGCAGAAGGGGAGAGUGGAAUUCCAUGUGUAGCGGUGAAAUGCGUAGAUAUAUGGAGGAACACCGGUGGCGAAAGCGGCUCUCUGGUCUGUAACUGACGCUGAGGCUCGAAAGCGUGGGGAGCGAACAGGAUUAGAUACCCUGGUAGUCCACGCCGUAAACGAUGAGUGCUAGGUGUUGGAUCCUUUCCGGGAUUCAGUGCCGCAGCUAACGCAUUAAGCACUCCGCCUGGGGAGUACGACCGCAAGGUUGAAACUCAAAGGAAUUGACGGGGGCCCGCACAAGCGGUGGAGCAUGUGGUUUAAUUCGAAGCAACGCGAAGAACCUUACCAGGUCUUGACAUCCCGAUGCUAUUUCUAGAGAUAGAA